GACGAACGCUGGCGGCGUGCUUAACACAUGCAAGUCGAGCGGUAAGGCCCUUUCGGGGGUACACGAGCGGCGAACGGGUGAGUAACACGUGGGUGACCUGCCCUCAGCUCUGGGAUAAGCCCGGGAAACUGGGUCUAAUACCGGAUAUGACUCCAUGACGCAUGUUGUGGGGUGAAAAGCCUUGUGCGGCUGAGGAUGGGCCCGCGGCCUAUCAGCUUGUUGGUGGGGUGAUGGCCACCAAGGCGGCGACGGGUAGCCGGCCUGAGAGGGCGACCGGCCACACUGGGACUGAGAUACGGCCCAGACUCCUACGGGAGGCAGCAGUGGGAAUCUUGCGCAAUGGGCGAAAGCCUGACGCAGCGACGCCGCGUGAGGGAUGACGGCCU
rnacentral:rRNA from 1 species